CUUGAGAGUUUGAUCCUGGCUCAGAACGAACGCUGGCGGCAGGCUUAACACAUGCAAGUCGAGCGCCUCGCAAGAGGAGCGGCAGACGGGUGAGUAACACGUGGGAAUCUACCCAUCACUACGGAACAACUCCGGGAAACUGGAGCUAAUACCGUAUACGUCCUUCGGGAGAAAGAUUUAUCGGUGAUGGAUGAGCCCGCGUUGGAUUAGCUAGUUGGUGGGGUAAAGGCCUACCAAGGCGACGAUCCAUAGCUGGUCUGAGAGGAUGAUCAGCCACACUGGGACUGAGACACGGCCCAGACUCCUACGGGAGGCAGCAGUGGGGAAUAUUGGACAAUGGGCGCAAGCCUGAUCCAGCCAUGCCGCGUGAGUGAUGAAGGCCCUAGGGUUGUAAAGCUCUUUCAGCGAGGAGGAUAAUGACGUUACUCGCAGAAGAAGCCCCGGCUAACUUCGUGCCAGCAGCCGCGGUAAUACGAAAGGUGCAAGCGUUAAUCGGAAUUACUGGGCGUAAAGC
rnacentral:rRNA from 13 species